UACGGGGGGUGCGAGCGUUGCUCGGAAUCACUGGGCGUAAAGCGUCCGCAGGCGGAAGUGUGUGUCGGUGGUGAAAUCCCAGGGCUCAACCCUGGAACUGCCAUCGAAACUGCAUUUCUCGAGUACGGGAGAGGAGGGCGGAAUUCCUGGUGUAGAGGUGAAAUUCGUAGAUAUCAGGAGGAACACCUGUGGCGAAAGCGGCCCUCUGGCCCGAUACUGACGCUCAUGGACGAGAGCGUGGGGAGCAAACAGG
rnacentral:rRNA from 1 species